rnacentral:rRNA from 1 species
GGCGAACGGGUGAGUAACGCGUGAGGAACCUGCCUUUCAGUGGGGGACAACAGUUGGAAACGACUGCUAAUACCGCAUAAUGCUAUUAGGGGGCAUCCCUUGAUAGCCAAAGAUUUAUUGCUGAAAGAUGGCCUCGCGUCUGAUUAGCUAGUUGGUGGGGUAACGGCCCACCAAGGCGACGAUCAGUAGCCGGUCUGAGAGGAUGAACGGCCACAUUGGGACUGAGAUACGGCCCAGACUCCUACGGGAGGCAGCAGUGGGGAAUAUUGGGCAAUGGGCGAAAGCCUGACCCAGCAACGCCGCGUGAAGGAAGAAGGCCCUCGGGUUGUAAACUUCUUUUAUACGGGAAUAAAGUGCCUUACGUGUAGGGUUUUGUAUGUACCGUAUGAAUAAGCAUCGGCUAAUUCCCGUGCCAGCAGCCGCGGUAAUACGGAAGAUGCGAGAGUUAUCCGGAUUUAUUGGGUUUAAAGGGAGCGUAGGCGGGUUUUUUAAGCCAGGUGUGAAAGUGUGCGGCUCAGCGGUAAAAUUGCAGUUGGAACUGGAGACCUUGAGUGUGCAUAAGGUGGAUGGAAUUCGUGGUGUAGCGGUGAAAUGCUUAGAUAUCACGAAGAACUCCGAUUGCGAAGGCAGUCCACUGGGGCACUACUGACGCUGAGGCUCGAAAGUGCGGGUAUCAAACAGGAUUAGAUACCCUGGUAGUCCGCACAGUAAACGAUGGACACUCGCUGUUGGCGAUAUACAGUCAGCGGCCAAGCGAAAGCAUUAAGUGUCCCACCUGGGGAGUACGCCGGCAACGGUGAAACUCAAAGGAAUUGACGGGGGCCCGCACAAGCGGAGGAACAUGUGGUUUAAUUCGAUGAUACGCGAGGAACCUUACCCGGGCUUGAACUGCAGAUGACUUUUCCGGAAACGGGAUUUCCCUUCGGGGCAUCUGUGGAGGUGCUGCAUGGUUUCGUCAGCUCGUGCCGUGAGGUGUCGGCUUAAGUGCCAUAACGAGCGCAACCCUUGCCGUCAGUUGCCAUCAGGUAAUGCUGGGGACUCUGGCGGGACUGCCAUCGCAAGAUGUGAGGAAGGUGGGGAUGACGUCAAAUCAGCACGGCCCUUACGUCCGGGGCUACACACGUGUUACAAUGGGAGGUACAGAAGGCCGCUACCCGGCGACGGGAUGCCAAUCCCCAAAACCUCUCUCAGUUCGGACUGGAGUCUGCAACCCGACUCCACGAAGCUGGAUUCGCUAGUAAUCGCGCAUCAGCCAUGGCGCGGUGAAUACGUUCCCGGGCCUUGCACUCACCGCCCGUCAAG